rnacentral:lncRNA from 1 species
AUGGUGGUUUGGGUGCUGGGGGCCCCUGGCUGCACCCCUGGGGUGGUGGUUUGGGUGCUGGGGGCCCCUGGCUGCACCCCUGGGGUGGUGGUUUGGGUGCUGGGGGCCCCUGGCUGCACCCCUGGGGUGGUGGUUUGGGUGCUGGGGGCCCCUGGCUGCACCCCUGGGGUGGUGGUUUGGGUGCUGGGGGCCCCUGGCUGCACCCCUGGGGUGGUGGUUUGGGUGCUGGGGGCCCCUGGCUGCACCCCUGGGGUGGUGGUUUGGGUGCUGGGGGCCCCUGGCUGCACCCCUGGGGUGGUGGUUUGGGUGCUGGGGGCCCCUGGCUGCACCCCUGGGGUGGUGGUUUGGGUGCUGGGGGCCCCUGGCUGCACCCCUGGGGUGGUGGUUUGGGUGCUGGGGGCCCCUGGCUGCACCCCUGGGGUGGUGGUUUGGGUGCUGGGGGCCCCUGGCUGCACCCCUGGGGUGGUGGUUUGGGUGCUGGGGGCCCCUGGCUGCACCCCUGGGGUGGUGGUUUGGGUGCUGGGGGCCCCUGGCUGCACCCCUGGGGUGGUGGUUUGGGUGCUGGGGGCCCCUGGCUGCACCCCUGGGGUGGUGGUUUGGGUGCUGGGGGCCCCUGGCUGCACCCCUGGGGUGGUGGUUUGGGUGCUGGGGGCCCCUGGCUGCACCCCUGGGGUGGUGGUUUGGGUGCUGGGGGCCCCUGGCUGCACCCCUGGGGUGGUGGUUUGGGUGCUGGGGGCCCCUGGCUGCACCCCUGGGGUGGAGGUCUGGGUGUCAGGGGCCCCUGACUCUGUCCCCAGUGUGGUGGUCUUGAUGCCAGGGGAUUCUGUCUGUGUCCCCAGGGUGAUGGCACAGGCAUCAGAAGUCUUUGUCUCUUCUGAGGAAGUGUCUGCCCCCUUCUCAGGGGCCACUGGUGCUCUCUGUGUCUCCAGGGAGCCAGGCUGUGUCUGUGGAGUCCCCCUGCCGGUCCCUUUGCUGGUCCUCGGUACAGCCUGUGUCCCUGGUCCCUUCAGUCCCAGCACUGAGCUUGCCCCAUGUGGCGUGUCCAUGUCUGCAGUGGGAGGCUCGGCGGGGACAGCCUGA